ACAACGCGCCGGGCUUUUGCCCCCGAGGCCCCGUAAACGGUGAUGGCCCCGGCGGCGGAUGCCUCGUCGUCGGUUCGAGUCUAAACACGACUCUCGGCAACGGAUAUCUAGGCUCUCGCAUCGAUGAAGAACGUAGCGAAAUGCGAUACA
rnacentral:rRNA from 1 species